GAUGAACGCUGGCGGCGCGCCUAACACAUGCAAGUCGAACGAUUAAAGCACCUUCGGGUGUGUAUAAAGUGGCGAACGGCUGAGUAACACGUGGGCAACCUGCCCCUUUCAUUGGGAUAGCCACGGGAAACCGUGGAUAAUACCGAAUACUUCGAGACUUCCGCAUGGAAGACUCGAGAAAGCUCCGGCGGAGAGGGAUGGGCCCGCGGCCUGUUAGCUUGUUGGUGGGGUAACGGCCUACCAAGGCAAUGAUGGGUAGCUGGGUUGAGAGACCGACCAGCCAGAUUGGGACUGAGACACGGCCCAGACUCCUACGGGAGGCAGCAGUGGGGAAUCUUGCACAAUGGGCGAAAGCCUGAUGCAGCGACGCCGCGUGCGGGAUGAAGGCCUUCGGGUUGUAAACCGCUUUCAGCAGGGACGAGGCGAGAGUGACGGUACCUGCAGAAGAAGCCCCGGCUAACUACGUG
rnacentral:rRNA from 1 species